AAACGAACUGACACCAUCCUUCAAGUGUUCACACAUUUGUCUUUAUCUAAACGUUGAUACGACGUUACCGUCGGGUGCACUUUAGGCCUGUAGCUCAGUUGGUUAGAGCGCACCCCUGAUAAGGGUGAGGUCGGCAGUUCAAAUCUGCCCAGGCCUACCAUUGCUUUAAAUGGGGCUAUAGCUCAGAUGGGAGAGCGCUUGAUUUGCAUUCAAGAGGUCCGCGGUUCGAUCCCGCGUAGCUCCACCACUUAUCGUUCGUCGUAUUGAAGUCAGCCAAGAGCGCAUGUUGUGUGCUGUUGACUGGUUUCGGCAACCAGUUGUUCUUUAACAAGAUAAAUUAAGCUGAGUCCUUGAAUCGGAAAUCAGCAUUUGAGUUUACUCGGAUGGUGAGGACGAUUCUUAGAUAAAAUGUUCUCAGACGCGGCCUCAAUUCCCGUGUCUGUGAAACGAGUUUUUAAAUAUACAUACUGGUGACUUAAGCGUCACAACAUCCGGCGCGUUGAUGCACUAACCUGCGCAUCAGCGUUCAUAAGUACCUGGCCUACGCACAAGGGG
rnacentral:tRNA from 1 species